rnacentral:rRNA from 1 species
UACGGAGGGGGCGAGCGUUAUUCGGAAUUAUUGGGCGUAAAGGGCGCGUAGGCGGCUGUACAAGUCAAAGGUGAAAUCCCUCGGCUCAACUGAGGAACUGCCUUUGAAACUGUACGGCUUGAGUCCGGAAGAGGAGAAUGGAAUUCCUGGUGUAGCGGUGAAAUGCGCAGAUAUCAGGAAGAACACCCGUGGCGAAGGCGGUUCUCUGGGACGGUACUGACGUUGAGACGCGAAAGCGUGGGGAGCGAACAGG